rnacentral:rRNA from 1 species
UACGUAGGGGGCUAGCGUUGUCCGGAUUUAUUGGGCGUAAAGCGCACGUAGGCGGCUUUGCAAGUCGGAUGUGAAGUCCCUCGGCUUAACCAAGGAAGUGCAUCCGAAACUGCAGAGCUUGAGUACUUAAGAGGAUCGCGGAAUUCCCGGUGUAGAGGUGAAAUUCGUAGAUAUCGGGAGGAACACCAGUGGCGAAGGCGGCGAUCUGGGAAGAUACUGACGCUGAGGUGCGAAAGCGUGGGGAGCAAACAGG